UACGAAGGGGGCUAGCGUUGCUCGGAAUCACUGGGCGUAAAGCGCACGUAGGCGGACUCUUAAGUCAGGGGUGAGAUCCUGGAGCUCAACUCCAGAACUGCCUUUGAUACUGGGAGUCUUGAGUUCGGGAGAGGUGAGUGGAACUGCGAGUGUAGAGGUGAAAUUCGUAGAUAUUCGCAAGAACACCAGUGGCGAAGGCGGCUCACUGGCCCGAUACUGACGCUGAGGUGCGAAAGCGUGGGGAGCAAACAGG
rnacentral:rRNA from 1 species